GUGUCAGCCGCCGCGGUAACACGUACUGUGCGAACGUUAUUCGGAAUCACUGGGCUUAAAGGGUGCGUAGGCGGUUUAAUAAGUAGGGUGUGAAAUGCCAGGGCUCAACCUUGGCACGGCGCUCUAAACUGUUAAACUUGAGUGAGAUAGGGGUGUACGGAACUUCCGGUGGAGCGGUGAAAUGCGUUGAUAUCGGAAGGAACACCGGUGGCGAAAGCGGUACACUGGGUCUUAACUGACGCUGAGGCACGAAAGCUAGGGUAGCGAACGGGAUUAGAUACCCCGGUAGUCCUAGCCGUAAACGAUGAGUACUAGUUGGGAGGAAUUUCGGUUUCUCCGGACGUAGCGAAAGCAUUAAGUACUCCGCCUGGGGAGUAUGGUCGCAAGGCUGAAACUUAAAUGAAUUGACGGGG
rnacentral:rRNA from 1 species